GCUAUUUAGGUUAGAGUUUGAUCCUGGCUCAGGACGAACGCUGGCGGCGCGCUUAACACAUGCAAGUCGAGCGAGAACCAGGCCUUCGGGCCUGGGGAAAGCGGCGAACGGGUGAGUAACACGUGGGUAACCCACCCUUGGUACCGGGAUAGCCCGAGGAAACUCGGAUUAAUACCGGAUGGCCCAACAGCUUCUCGGAGCGGUUGGAAAAGGUAGCUUCGGCCUCCGACCAAGGACGGGCCCGCGGCGGAUUAGCUUGUUGGUGAGGUAACGGCUCACCAAGGCUUCGAUCCGUAGCUGGUCUGAGAGGACGAUCAGCCACACUGGGACUGAGACACGGCCCAGACUCCUACGGGAGGCAGCAGUGGGGAAUCUUGCGCAAUGGGCGAAAGCCUGACGCAGCGACGCCGCGUGGGGGAAGAAGGCUUUCGGGUUGUAAACCCCUUUCAGGAAGGACGAAGCCACUCGGGUUAAUAGCCCAGAGGGUGACGGUACUUCCAGAAGAAGCCCCGGCUAACUACGUGCCAGCAGCCGCGGUAAUCGCC
rnacentral:rRNA from 1 species